AGAAUCAACGCUGGCGGCGUGCCUAACACAUGCAAGUCGAACGAGAAAGUGGAGCAAUCCAUGAGUAAAGUGGCGUACGGGUGAGUAACACGUGACUAACCUACCCUCGAGUUGGGAAUAACCUCGGGAAACCGGGGCUAAUACCGCAUAACAUCUACGGAUCAAAUGCGUAAGCAGCUUGAGGAGGGUGUCGCGGCCGAUUAGCUAGUUGGCGGGGUAAUGGCCCACCAAGGCAAUGAUCGGUAGCCGGCCUGAGAGGGCGCACGGCCACACUGGAACUGAAACACGGUCCAGACUCCUACGGGAGGCAGCAGUGGGGAAUUUUGCGCAAUGGGGGAAACCCUGACGCAGCAACGCCGCGUGGAGGAUGAAGCCCCUUGGGGGUGUAAACUCCUUUCGACCGGGACGAUUAUGACGGUACCGGAUGAAGAAGCACCGGCUAACUCUGCGCCAGCAGCCGC
rnacentral:rRNA from 1 species